GAAUCUCAUGACCAGUGAGUCCUGUGUUCCUGUAGAUGGUUUGUUGAAGAAAUAGGGUGGGAUUUGUUGCAUCAUCUGUGGGUUUGACUUUGAGUCCUUGUUGGAUUAUUAUUUUGUGUUUGCAGAUCCUUAAGAGGCUUCGAGAGGUGUAUUUUGUGAAAGAAGGAUAGAUGUGAGGCCCCAUCUGGUGGAAAAAGAGUUUUGUGUGAAGAUGGGGGUCCAGUUGGGCAAAGAACAAGUGAAGUAGAAGUAUGCCUGUGGGGGACAUGAAGUACUUAUUCCCAAAAUGCAAGUGGAUUUGAUGUCAAGUCUGCAAGUUAAGAAUCCAUUUCCAUCUCUGUGGUCGGAAAGUAUCAGCGUCUCCGGGGAAGACUUCGGUGUGCGUCGUUUGGAGCAAUCGGGC